UUCUGUGAUUUUACUUCCACACAUGUGUGAGCGCACAAAACACAUAAACCGUGAGUAAUUUUAGUCGAAAUAAGCAAAAAAAAAAAUACAAAACUUUCAACAACGGAUCUCUUGGUUCUCGCAUCGAUGAAGAGCGCAGCGAAAUGCGAUACCUAGUGUGAAUUGCAGCCAUCGUGAAUCAUCGAGUUCUUGAACGCACAUUGCGCCCGUCGGUAUUCCGGCGGGCAUGCCUGUCUGAGCGUCGUUUCCUUCUUGGAACUUUUGUUAAAAAAGAAAGUUCCAGAGUUGGCCGUGCCACUGGCCCGGCCGAAAAGAAACGUUGCGGACGAAGCGAACUACAUCGGGACGCUUUGGCCGCCGAGCGAAAAUAUAUAUCAUUGAGCUCGACCUCAGAUCAGGUAGGAGUACCCGCUGAACUUAAGCAUAUCAAUAAGCGGAGGAUAGG
rnacentral:rRNA from 1 species